rnacentral:rRNA from 1 species
UACGUAGGGGGCUAGCGUUGUCCGGAAUCAUUGGGCGUAAAGAGCGUGUAGGCGGCCCGGUAAGUCCGCUGUGAAGGUCGGGGGCUCAACCCUCGAAUGCCGGUGGAUACUGUCGGGCUAGAGUGCGGAAGAGGCGAGUGGAAUUCCUGGUGUAGCGGUGAAAUGCGCAGAUAUCAGGAGGAACACCGAUUGCGAAGGCAGCUCGCUGGGACGUAACUGACGCUGAGACGCGAAAGCGUGGGGAGCAAACAGG